ACCUGGCUAACUCAGUUGGUAGAGUAUGGGACUAUUAAUCCCAGCGUCAUGGGUUCGAGCCCCACAUUGGGUG
rfam:Anolis carolinensis chromosome 1, whole genome shotgun sequence.